GGCAGCAUGGUAUAAUGGUUUGCACAUUAGACUAAGAUUCUGGAGUCCAGGGUUCGAAUUUUCAUUCAGCCA